rnacentral:tRNA from 1 species
CGGAGCGUGGCUUAGUUUGGCGGUGUGCUUAAUUUGGGUCGAAGAGGUCGUGGGUUCAAAUCCCGUUGCCCCGGC